GAAAAAAUAUAAAAGGCAUAUGAAAAAAUACAUUCCAAGAAUAAUCCGUUGUACAAAGCGGUCAAUUUUAUUAUGUUCAACCAGUAAAUACGUCCGUGCUUUUGUGCGAUUAAAAAUAUAAAUUAAUUAUCAAAAAAUUGACAUGCUAAUAAUUAAUUUUAAAACUAUCCCUAUAUUGUAUAAGAAAGAAACAUUUAUAAAUAGCAUAAUUAGGUGCCUUUCAAUUUUGUGUCACAAGUAGCAUAUAAUAGAAAAUAAAGGGGAUAAAAAUAGCACAUAUGAAGAAUAAAGGGGUUAUUUUUGCACGUUAAUACAAUUAAGACUUUUAAGAUUCCUAAUUCAUCUUGUACGUGACUACAUGUCUCCUCUAGCUAUAAGCAAUCAUCUUCUUCAUAUUCCCCUAAUUUCCUUUUCAGGCUUUUACAGAGCAAAGUUUUCAAGCCUCUAGGUCGUCUCUUUCAUAGUCUUUCAUUCUUUCCUCAAGAUAGAAAGAGAAAGCCAUUCAAGGCCGAAAACAAACCCUCCAUCUAUAUCACUGCUUCUCUCUGUCAUCCGAACUCAACACAACCUUGUAUUCUUGGUUAAUCUAAAAGUACUAUAAUAUUGAAGGUCUUACAAUCUAAUGUUUGAAGAUUUUAAACUUUAGAAGAUUUCAAUAUGACUGAAGAGUUGCAGAAAUUAUUUGAAGACUAUUAUUUGUGUCCUUUUUUUUAAAAUUUAUUUUUUAUUAUAGGAUUGGUUAUAUAAUGACAUUAGUUAUUUAGUUCAAACAAUUUAAGUUUUUAAGUUGUUACAUUAAUAUUCUGGAUUGGUCCUUUAUUUUUUCAUCAGAUCUCAAGAGAUGUAUUAUGUUUUUAUCAAUUAAUAGUGAUAUGUUUUUUUAGCAUUUACCUUAGUUGCCACCAAAAGACUCUAUUACUGGAUUGUUAUUUGGAAGAACAUUGUAGCCAUUAUCGGUGGCUAAACAA